rnacentral:rRNA from 1 species
AUUUUCAGGAAUAAAAAAAUAAAGUUAACUUUUUAGUAAGAAGGCUAAAAUUUCUCUUAAAGACGAGAAGACCCUAUAAAACUUUAUAUUUUAUAUUUUUAGAAAAAUAAGUAAAUAUUUUACUGGGGCGGUAGGAAAAAUUGUCUUUUCUUCUUUUAAUAAAACAAUAUGUUUUUAUAUCUAAAAUUUUUAAAGAAAGAAUAAGUUACUUUAGGGAUAACAGCUUAAUUCACUUAGAAAGUUCUAAUUGACAAGUGAGAUUAUGACCUCGAUGUUGAAUUAAAAUACCUUUUAAGCGCAAAAGUUUAAAGAGGAGGUCUGUUCGACCUUUAAAAUUUUCCA